rnacentral:rRNA from 1 species
CCUACGGGGGGCAGCAGUGAGGAAUAUUGGUCAAUGGACGAGAGUCUGAACCAGCCAAGUAGCGUGAAGGAUGACUGCCCUAUGGGUUGUAAACUUCUUUUAUAUAGGAAUAAAAUGAGGCACGUGUGCAUUUUUGCAUGUACUUUAUGAAUAAGGAUCGGCUAACUCCGUGCCAGCAGCCGCGGUAAUACGGAGGAUCCGAGCGUUAUCCGGAUUUAUUGGGUUUAAAGGGAGCGUAGGUGGGUUGUUAAGUCAGUUGUGAAAGUUUGCGGCUCAACCGUAAAAUUGCAGUUGAAACUGGCAGUCUUGAGUACAGUAGAGGUAGGCGGAAUUCGUGGUGUAGCGGUGAAAUGCUUAGAUAUCACGAAGAACCCCGAUUGCGAAGGCAGCUUACUAGACUGUAACUGACAUUGAGGCUCGAAAGUGUGGGUAUCAAACAGGAUUAGAUACCCGGGUAGUC